rnacentral:tRNA from 1 species
GGGUAUGUAGCUUAGCAGUGGAGCACUUGCCUGGCAUGCAUGAGGCCCUAGGUUCCAUCCCCAGCACUGCCA